rnacentral:rRNA from 1 species
CCAAUAGCGUAUAUUAAAGUUGUUGCAGUUAAAAAGCUCGUAGUUGAAUUUCGGGAUCAAUUUAUUGGUCGUGCUAUUGUACGUACUGGUAUUAUUGAUUCCUACCUUCUGACGAACCAUGAUGUCAUUAAUUUGGUGUCAUGGGGAAUCAGGACUGUUACUUUGAAAAAAUUAGAGUGUUUAAAGCAGGCUCACGCUUGAAUACAUUAGCAUGGGAUAACGAAAUAGGACGUUUGAUUCUAUUUUGUUGGUUUCUAGGAUCGACGUAAUGAUUAAUAGGGAUAGUUGGGGGCAUUAGUAUUCAAUUGUCAGAGGUGAAAUUCUUGGAUUUAUUGAAGACUAACUACUGCGAAAGCAUUUGCCAAGGAUGUUUUCAUUAAUCAAGAACGAAAGUUAGGGGAUCGAAGACGAUCAGAUACCGUCGUAGUCUUAACCAUAAAAUAUGCCGACUAGGGAUCGGAUGAUGUUAAUUUUUUAAUGACUCAUUCGGCGCCUUACG